CCUCCGACCAACCACUCCGAGAAGAAGAACCCCUAGCCAUUAAAGAGAAGACUAAAGAAGGCAAAGGAUAGCUCAAAGCAAAAAGAACAAAGAACUUAACCUGAAAUUCAAAGAAGAAGAUGAGGAAGAAAGAAAACCCUCCAAACACUGGGACAACCUUCUGGCAAAGCUUAUGUAGCAAAAAAGCAAAUGAAAAGUAAAAGUUUGGCUAAAAGCAACCCUAUAUAUAUAGGAUCCCUCAACGAUCAGGAUCAAAUCAAUCAAGCCA
rnacentral:lncRNA from 1 species